rnacentral:lncRNA from 1 species
CGGCUUCAUCUCCACACCUACAGGUUCACCUCUCCCUCUCUCCCCCAACCAAAACCCGCAGCACAGACGGAGGAGAACACUGCCUAAAGAAAUUGAGCUCUAGCUUGAGCUUUUGAUGUGCCUUUUGAUCAUCUUCAUGGCAUUUGCAUCUAAUGAUCUGUACGACAAGAUUCAGUGUGUUCCUGGGACACUAGAAUGAUUUUUUUGCUGAAUGACUAAAGUGUGAACUGAAUAUAUGAGUUGCUGUCAUUGAAACUACAAACUGUGAAGUUUUAGAUCAAGUAUGUGUACGUGGUUGCGUCUUUAAGAGGUCUGAAUAUAUGAGUUUCUGUCACUGAUAGAUAUACUAUGGACAUUCAGGUUUUUGAUAAUUUGCUCCUUGGGAGGUCAGUUUCCUUCAAGUACAGCUAAAUCAAAGAGACACCGACUUAUUUUGGUGCUUGGGAUUUUGAUUGCCAAUCUGCAACAAUGCCCAUGCCCUUUGGUAUUGCACUGAUAAUUUGCUCCUUGGGAGGUCAGUUUCCUUCAAGUACAGCUAAAUCAAAGAGACACCGACUUAUUUUAGUGCUUGAGAUUUUGAUUGCCAAUCUGCAACAAUGCCCAUGCCCUUUGGUAUUGCACUCUAAUUAUUAUUAUUAUUAUUAUUAUUAUUAUUAUUAUUAUUAUUAUUCUCUUGCAGAUGGUUUCUAUCUUAAGUGUCUACAACAAAAGGGAUAAGCAGCACCGCAUCUGAGUACCAAAGCCAUCCAUGCCAUUCUGUAUUCCUCUCAUCAUACACUUGAUCAUAAAAAUCAGCUUAUUUUAUUGCGGACCUACCAUUUAAGAUAUCAAACUACUGUUAUUGCAAUUGGUCUUGAAAUGCCACUAAAUUGUUACUACAUUAUUUUCCACUGUUGUAUGAUUUAUUUAUCUAGAGGAACUUCUUUUAUUGGUGGGAAAAUAUAAGUAUCCUAUUAGUCUGCUGAGAUUUCCAAUGCGAUUCCUUACUAAUCCUACAAGUCGUGUUCUUGAUAUUAAGUUGACGUUACCUUUCCGAGACAUGUGUUUUCCAAUGAGAAUCUUUACUAAUCAUACAAGUCAUGUUCUAGAUGUUAAGUUGAGGUUAUAUUUCAAGUUAUGUAAACCUGAAAGUGGAAGCAUAAUAUACUACGUGAUUCGAUUGACCAACACUGAACUUUUUACAUGUUUUCUUGUGUUGAUUCAGUCCCAUCUUUUUACAUCAUCUUCCACUUUCAGCUGAUAUAUCUAAAAUCUCUAAUGAACAUGUAAUAGCUAGCAGGGAAUAACUAAAGUCUUUGCAAUUUUUUACAUGUUGUCGUGCAUCGAUUCAGCCCAAUUGUGCCAUCAGAAUGACUGAUUCCGCCGCUGUCAUAAGACCAAGGUUCUAAUCCUAGAUACUAAGUCAGACCAACUCUGUUUAGCUCUUGAGAUUAUUUUCUAGCUUGUGAAUAAUAAUCUGCAAAUAGUACCUAUGCUUCUUACAUUCCUUCCGGCUCUAAAAUACACAUAUGCUUUUCUCUUUUUUGUACUUACUACUAAACUAUGUGUGUUGAACAAAGCAUGUCGCCUUAUUUUAGAUAAAUGAUGAUGUAGUUAUGGACGCCUUCUCAAUGCUACAUGUGUAGUUCCCAAAUUGGACAAUAUCUUUCUGCAAAGAUCUUCAAGUAUGGCAUUUGAUUCAUUCUCUCACAUCUGCUAUUUAAAGUUCCUCUCUUGGUUUCUAAUCAAUCUGUGUAGAUACAACUUUCUUAGGUUUUUGUGCAACAACAGAAUUAACAGUUGGUUGCUCUGUUUACCUUCGAUGUCGGUAUCAUCUAUAAAUGUCACUCCCCUAGCUAUUAGCAUUGUUUGUUACAACAACCUACAUGGCCUGAAUUUGAUGUUGUGGUUGCUUGUAGUAGCUUGCCCAUGAUUCAUGGUCUCAUUGCCUUCAUUUGUUUGUGUUUUUUGUGCUGUCAUGCAGAUCAGGAGUUGCAAGUAUGUGUGUGCUAUUCAAUCUAUUUACUGAGACAAGAGGCGUUUAUUUAUGUCCAGAUUUCUGUUGGAGAUUAUGGUACAUAGAAGAUCUCAUAUUAGAGAAGAGAAAAUUCAUUAUAUCUGUCGAUCUGGACAGUAUGUAUAUGUUUCUGGCACCUUUAUCCUUUAGAGCAAAGCCCAGUUCUAUGUUGAUCUUUCUUGAAUCUUUUGUUUUGUUGAUUCGAAUUAUUUAAGUGUGAAUUUUUUUGUACAAUUCCUUGAUUAUAUGCCAGUGUCGAGGCAUCUUUUGACUAUUUGAAUUAAUUUCCCAUUGUAUAUUUGACGUAUAUCUUGGAAGGAUGUGGAAGAACUUAUUAUUAUGAUGUUGUACUAAACUUUGAAGCUUUUGGUGUAUCAUGGUACAUAUUAUAGGAAAUGCAUCAAUGACAUGUAAUGAACUUUCAUGGUUUGGACCUUGGCAUCCUGUGUAACAUAU